rnacentral:rRNA from 1 species
UACGUAGGGUGCGAGCGUUGUCCGGAAUUACUGGGCGUAAAGAGCUCGUAGGUGGUUUGUCGCGUUGUUCGUGAAAACCGGGGGCUUAACCCUCGGCGUGCGGCGGAUACGGGCAGACGUUGAGUACUGCAGGGGAGACUGGGAAUUCCUGGUGAUAGGCGGGUGGAAUACGGCAGAUAUCAGGAAGAACACCCGUGGCGAAGGCGGCUCUCUGGGACGGUACUGACGCUGAGACGCGAAAGCGUGGGGAGCGAACAGG